rnacentral:rRNA from 1 species
CCAGACUCCUACGGGAGGCAGCAGUGAGGAAUAUUGGUCAAUGGUCGGGAGACUGAACCAGCCAAGCCGCGUGAGGGAGGAAGGUACAGAGUAUCGUAAACCUCUUUUGUCAGGGGACAAAGACUGGGACGCGUCCCCGGAUGAGUGUACCUGAAGAAAAAGCAUCGGCUAACUCCGUGCCAGCAGCCGCGGUAAUACGGAGGAUGCGAGCGUUAUCCGGAUUUAUUGGGUUUAAAGGGAGCGUAGAUGGGUUGUUAAGUCAGUUGUGAGGGUUUGCGGCUCAACCGUAAAAUUGCAAUUGAUACUGGCAGUCUUGAGUACAGUUGAGGUAGGCGGAAUUCGUGGUGUAGCGGUGAAAUGCUUAGAUAUCACGAAGAACCCCGAUUGCGAAGGCAGCUUACUAAACUGUGACUGACAUUGAUGCUCGAAAGUGUGGGUAUCAAACAGGAUUAGAUACCCGCGUACC